AUUGAACGCUGGCGGCAUGCCUUACACAUGCAAGUCGAACGGUAACGGGCCUUCGGGUGCCGACGAGUGGCGAACGGGUGAGUAAUACAUCGGAACGUGCCCGAUCGUGGGGGAUAACGAGGCGAAAGCUUUGCUAAUACCGCAUACGAUCUACGGAUGAAAGCAGGGGACCGCAAGGCCUAGCGCGGACGGAGCGGCCGAUGGCAGAUUAGGUAGUUGGUGGGAUAAAAGCUUACCAAGCCGACGAUCUGUAGCUGGUCUGAGAGGAUGAUCAGCCACACUGGGACUGAGACACGGCCCAGACUCCUACGGGAGGCAGCAGUGGGGAAUUUUGGACAAUGGGCGCAAGCCUGAUCCAGCCAUGCCGCGUGCAGGAUGAAGGCCUUCGGGUUGUAAACUGCUUUUGUACGGAACGAAAAGCCUUCUUUUAAUACAGGAGGGUCAUGACGGUACCGUAAGAAUAAGCACCGGCUAACUACGUG
rnacentral:rRNA from 1 species